rnacentral:rRNA from 1 species
UGCAUGGCUGUCGUCAGCUCGUGUCGUGAGAUGUUGGGUUAAGUCCCGUAACGAGCGCAACCCUUGUCCUUAGUUACCAGCACGUUAUGGUGGGCACUCUAAGGAGACUGCCGGUGACAAACCGGAGGAAGGUGGGGAGUGACGUCAAGUCAUCAUGGCCCUUACGGCCUGGGCUACACACGUGCUACAAUGGUCGGUACAAAGGGUUGCCAAGCCGCGAGGUGGAGCUAAUCCCAUAAAACCGAUCGUAGUCCGGAUCGCAGUCUGCAACUCGACUGCGUGAAGUCGGAAUCGCUAGUAAUCGUGAAUCAGAAUGUCACGGUGAAUACGUUCCCGGGCCUU